CAAAGAGAGGAAGAGAGAAGCGUGUCACUUUUGCUCCUAAAAGCGCAGUAUAGAGAACUGCUUAUUAUCAAAUCAACAACACAUUACGCAUGAUGAAAACGCUUUAUGGAUUCCGAGAAUUCGAGAGAGCAAAGAGUAAGACCUACCGUUGUCAUGGGGACUUCAUCGUGAAUGUUAUGGCCCAUCAUAUGCUGUUCGGCCU